CCCUUAGAUGUCCUGGGCUGCACGCGCGCUACACUGAUGCGCUCAACGAGUUUACGAUCUUGCCUGAAAUGGCUGGGUAAUCUUUUUAAAAUGCAUCGUGAUGGGGAUAGAUCAUUACAAUUAUUGAUCUUCAACGAGGAAUUCCUAGUAAGCGCGAGUCAUCAGCUCGUGCUGAUUACGUCCCUGCCCUUUGUACACACCGCCCGUCGCUCCUACCGAUUGAGUGGUCCGGUGAGGCUUUGGGAUCUAAGCGAAAAGAGCGUUUCGCCCCUUUCGCUGGGAGAACUCAGUCGAACCUUAUCAUUUAGAGGAAGGAGAAGUCGUAACA
rnacentral:rRNA from 1 species